CGUCUCUUCUCGUCGUCGUGGUCGUUGUAUUCUUCUUCUUCUCUUUCAAAACAGAACCUCAUGCUCUUCCCCGCGGAAUUCGGAUGCUGAGGAAUACUCUUGAGCGCUUCCCAGAUUCGCAGGAUUUAAGUCGGAGAUGACAAAGACUGGAGAUUUUAUUGAGCGAUGAUAAAAAUGUUGGGGUACUAAAGAUGUUCAAGCCUCAACUAUCUCAUUCAAAUUCAAAUAAAUGAUCUAGUUGGGGAGACUCUGGCAUUCUGUGGGCUUUUGAAAAGUCGAUUUCAUUUGGAGCCUUUUCAUAUUAGUUUAUGUUCUGAAAGCACUUUUUUUACUGGAGUUCCAUUUUUCGGCGAGGGCAUGGGUCAUCCUGCUUCAAUUAAGAUAGCCAAGGAUUGAUGAAGAAAGAACUCAUUAGAUCAACAUUAAUCUUACGAGAGAUUUCUUUCCAAGCAAUGUUAUAAAAUAUUUUUGGUAUCAUUGAGGUCAUGGGAAAUCUCAUGGAACUUUAUCCGGGAUUGUAGUAAAUAUGGACAGAUCAGAUACAUCAGGCUUUGUGAGUGGUGGAUGCUGUAUGCUGGAAUUUCUUGGCCACCAUUGUAGAUCUUAUAGCUUCGCGUGGUGAAGCUUUUAGUGCCUUUAACCUAUUGUAAGGCACGUGACGCAGAAUGGAUCUAAACCAGAAAGGUAUACUGUAUUCUCAAGAUGCUGAACUCAAGAUAAGAGAUGACUUCAGUGAUGCUACAUUAUCCUUGAAUGGGUUAGGCUUUGGGGAAACCAAUACAACUAGCUAUAGCAGUAGUAAGAAGAAUGCUGGAUUAAAUUUCUGCAACGCUUCUGAUGAUGGAUGCAGGUUGGUUCUGGGAUUGGGCCCACCUCCAAGCACAUAUCGCAAUGAAUUCUUCAUUCUUGGGUCUAGAAAGAGGAAGGAAAGAGACUGUGUGCUUCCGCAAUGUAUGCCAUCUGAUAGUGAUUCAAUGCUGCAACUUGGUCUUUCUGGAGGAACUUAUGAGGCAUCAAGUGUUCUGGACAGCUCAGGUUCAUCUGAGAAUGAGAGUCUUUCAAGCCAAACAUCUGCUGAAAAUAACUAUUCUGCAGUUCCUGUUGUCGAUGAGGGUUCCACCUCAGCAAAGAAAUCAGGUGGCUACGUGGGUUCACUUCUACUGGCUUCGAGAACAGAUACUGCUAAAACUUCAUUGCCAACACAAGAAUUACCUAAUGCUACAAAUUGCUCACUUUGCCCUCCUUCAUCAUCAGAGAACCGAACAAGCAACUUCAGGAGAUGUAAUUUUCCUGGAUGUACAAAAGGAGCUCGAGGUGCUUCUGGAUUUUGCAUUGGACAUGGGGGUGGACAGAGAUGUCAGAAGCCGGGCUGUAAUAAUGGUGCUGAGAGCCGCACAGUUUAUUGCAAGGCUCAUGGUGGAGGGAGGAGGUGCGAACACUUGGGUUGUACCAAAAGUGCAGAGGGGAAGACAGAUUACUGCAUAGCACAUGGUGGUGGCAGGCGGUGUGAGCAUCCAGGUGGGUGCACCAAGGCUGCGAGAGGCAAGUCAGGACUCUGCAUUAGACAUGGGGGAGGCAAGAGAUGUAAGAUUGAAGGGUGCACAAGAAGUGCUGAAGGGAAGGCAGGGUUGUGCAUCUCUCAUGGUGGUGGACGCCGGUGUCAGUACCAAGGAUGCACGAAAGGUGCCCAAGGAAGCACCAUGUUCUGUAAGGCACAUGGUGGCGGAAAGCGUUGCUCAUUUGCCGGUUGCACCAAAGGUGCUGAAGGGAGCACGCCACUAUGCAAGGCACAUGGAGGAGGCAAACGCUGCCUCUUCAAUGGAGGUGGUAUAUGCCCCAAGAGUGUACAUGGAGGUACCAACUUCUGUGUUGCCCAUGGUGGUGGGAAGAGGUGUGCCGUGCCUGGCUGCGCCAAGAGUGCCCGUGGCCGAACAGACUGCUGUGUCAGGCACGGUGGGGGUAAACGAUGCAAGUUCGAAGGUUGUGAGAAGAGUGCUCAGGGAAGCACAGAUUUCUGCAAGGCCCAUGGCGGGGGCAAGAGAUGUGUUUGGGGUGAUGGUAAGUGUGAGAAAUUUGCAAGGGGUAAGAGUGGACUCUGUGCUGCUCACGGAAACUUGAUGAUGCAAGAGAGAGGAAGUCUGAUUGAUUCCAGACUCUUCCAUGGUCUUGUACCUUCUGCUUCCAUUGCUCAUAGUAGUUCUGAUGACAACAAUUCCUCCUCAGGGGUCAGUGUUGUUUCUGAGCACAACGAUUUAGCAAAAGAACCAGCAAAAUUGCAGCAUCUUAUACCAGAGGAAGUAUUGGUGCCGCUCUCCAUGAAGUCGUCAAUGUUGUCAUCAUCAUCUUCUCUUCCACGCUUCUUGGUUACCAAGAAGCCGGAGGAAUGUAGAAACAAGAAUAUUCUGGAGAAAGACAUUAAUUUUGAUGUCCCAGAAGGGAGGGUUCAUGGUGGCGGCCUGAUGUUACAUCUUGGUGGAAAUUUCAAGGAGGCAGCCAACGUAAUGUGGAGGAACUCAAUUGGCUCAAGCUUGUAGAUUCAUCUUAGGAAAUAGGGACAUGUUCAUCAUGAAAUUGUGAAUAAGGUUUCUGCUGCUUGUUCAGUAUCUUAUCUUGAUGGAUUGUGUUCUUCAAAGACUAGCGGUACGUUUGCUUCGAGGGAAUUCUUGGCUUAGGAAUGGGAAAAGCAAUGGGACAACCAACACCCAUGUUCGCUAAUGGAAGGUAUAACACUGUAGCUCAUGGGAAUAGUUAUGAAAUGUCCAAAUUGCCCUUGUGUGUAUGAUCAAACAAAGUAAUAUCAUUCUCGUUCCAUUCUCAUUUCUUUAUAUUUUUGGGAAAACAAAACUAUUUGUUUCUAUUAUUUUAGCAUGGUUUGUUA